GAUUGUUGUGACCCAGGUACAAGACUUUGCACUUGGAUUUGUUAAACUUCGUAAAUUUCACCUGGGCCCACUGCUCAAGCCUGUUUAGGUCUCUCUGGACAGCAUCCCAUCCCUCGUGCAUGUUGAUUUUGCUAUAUGGUUUGGUGUUGUCUGCAAACUUGCUGAGGGUGCACUUGAUCCCACUGACAAUGUCACUGGUAAAGAUACUAAAGAAUGUUUGUUCCAGUACUGACCCCUGAGGGAUACCACUUGUCACCGAUCUACAUCUGGACAUGGAGCUGUUGAUCACCACCAUUCUCUGGUUGCAAUCUCACAACCUGUUCCUCAUCUAUCAAAUAGCCCCCUCCCCCCCCCCAAAAAAAAAAAGUUCUGUAUCUUUCUAAUCUGGAGAUGUGAAUGUUGGGCAGGACAAUGUCAAAAGCCUCAGUGAAGUCCAAACAGAUGUUAACAGUGUCUCUUACCUUUGAUACAAUUACACCAUUGUAGGAGGUCACUUUGUUGGUCAGGAAUGACCUGCCCUUGAGGAAACCGUGCUUGUCUUAUAUGUCUCUUUUAACUAUCCAGUUUUCUUGACUUCAGUACAAUUCCUUGCUUUCAACUGCCUUAAGCUAAAGGUUGCUAUGCUUAUAUGUGAGUUUUUCAUUUCAUCCAACUAGUGUCUUACCUAACCUGACUGCCACUCAGAUGAAAUUUUAAUAUGAAUUUUGGAAGAUGGCUGCUUUCUGGUAAUCUGUGAUUAAAAUAGCAGGGAAGCCUACAGUGGAGUUUUUCCGUGAUCAGUUUAUCAGAAUGAAUGAAACAAAUUUCAGUUUAAGAGGUGCUAGAGCAGUUGAAAUCUGGUGAGUCUGACUGACCCCCUUAUGACUUUGAGAAAAUCAGAAAUCAAUUUUGCUUUUGCAGUGAUGUUUUUUAGCAGGAAAAAAUAUGCCGUACUCUGUGAUUGUUGGUAACUUUAGAAUGUUCAUGAUCUGCUUCUAAGAUGUCAUAUCGCUCUAUAAAAUAAACAACUCUGUUUGCUUUACCUUUGCAUAAUGUGAGCAUAAGUCAGCUAGGCAGUGGUUUCUCUGGAAAAUCACUGUUGACCUGAGCAGUAGAGAACCAUGAGUUUGAAAGAUCCAUUUCAUGUUCUUCAUCUGAUUUUACUGUUUAUGGCUUCCCCCCCCCAUAUUUCUCCACAUAAGUUUGUGGUACAGGUUUUUUAAAUUAAUAGUAGACAAACAACUAGAGAUUUAUAUAUUGCCUGCAAGUAUUAAGUAGGCAAAAUCAUAUGGUAAUUUUAGCCUCUGACUAUUAAGAAGGGGGGAGGAAUAAGAGAAAAUUGUGUAGAAUAUUUAUCUCUCCUUCUGGAAAGAAAGAAAAAAGCCGCUGUGGUUUAAUUCUGAUAUUUUCUGUGUUGAAUUUAUGCCAGACAAAAGUCAGUGGAGUUACUUCACCAUGUACAGUAGUGUAAGGUUAGGAAUGAGUCUUGUAUGUUAAAACACUGUGUAAGUAAAUACACACUUCUGGGUGCACUGUAUCUCUUUGUCUAUGCAUAUUCAAGUGAAUAUAUUUCACAGCUGCUGUCUGCAUCAUUCACUUCCAAAACCAGCAUGCAUUCAUUUUCAUAACUUUUUCUUCUAUUACAAUAUUAAUGGGACUAUCAAUGGGAAAGGACAAGAGAAGCAUUUUUAAUGUUUAUCUGACAGUUGCAAAUUUCACUUGAGGUUGUUUACUGGGAUCUGAUUGUUGGCAAAGAGGAGUAGGGAAGGCAGCAAGAUGAAUGGGAUCACAGGAAGAAGAGAUGUAUUUAUAGGCCCUCUUAGCACCAUCUAAGAGUAAUAAAAAGUCUUGUCUUACUCCUCCUUAACCAAGUCUUAAGUUUUAAACAGUAAAAAAUGAGAGAUUAUUUUAAUUAACUUCUGUAUAAUCCUGGCAGCCUGUUUAAAGGGAAACAUUUUGUAUUUAGAUAUAUGGAAGUUAGGUGAAGGUCUUUGUGUAUAUGUUCAUCAGUUCCUUAAUGGGAAAAGAUGGUUGGAAGUAAGUGAGUAGUUGUGCACUAGCAGAUGAACCUGUAAUCUGAUGUUAACUGCUUUCGACCUUCAGUGCUAGGACUACAGUAAGAGGAAGUUACUUGUUAUGGGAAGAGCUGAAGCUUUUCCCAGUUUUGCUUUGUGGAUUUAAAGCCACUAAGUUUUACAGAUCUGGAUGUUGUGCCUCCAAUUUUUUUUAUCACUGUGAACAUUUUUCUUCCAACUAAGAAAAAAUACAAAAGAAAACAACAACCACACGUCUUGGAGUUCUGAUUCUCUGUCUUUUUAGAUUGUGCUUUAAAAGGUUUAGGUCUCAUUUUUUCAACCAGAAAUGCAGAAGGACUAACUUUUCUUUUUGGUGUUUCAAUGAGAGUUUUUACCUAACUGCACAGCAUUACCGCCAGUCUUUAAGAACAGAAUGAAAUAUAGAUGAACUGUAGACUACAUAAAAAUGAUAGCCUUAGAGUACUGCAUUCAGUUUCACCUGGUCUAUCACAGGUGUCUGCAGAAAUAGAAGUGUUUCAAAACCAGGUAGUUAGCUAAGAUAUUUGAGAAACAGGCUGUUUCAACUGAGGAAAAAUAGUUGGAGUAAGUAUGAGGAGUAGGUUCAAUUUUCCAUGCAAAAUGAAAUCCAAAAUAAUUGCUGUGUAGAUUUGAAUUGUUAGAUUCUUGGAGAUUUUAAAUUCCCCUCUCCCUGUUUUUCUUAAUAGGCUGGAGACUUUUGGUGAAUUUAAGCAUCUGUGAUGAAUCUUGCCAGGCCCAGCAGAGAAGCCUUGAUGAGGACACAGGCCACUCCUACAAAGCACCAUGGCAGCUCUUUUCAGAUGAAAAAUAUUAAUUUUCCACAGGAAGCAGGCCAGAGACCGCUGUUCCCAGAGAAGAAUGUGCCCAAAACAGAAGAACUGGUCACUUGGGAAGAUCUGCCUUUUCGUGGUGGCUCACAGAGGCACAAAUUCUGUGAAAUCCCUCUGCCUGACUCGUCAUGGAACCGGGCCGAACCAGCACAUCAUCCAUGGACAACAUCAGCAGAAUCUGGACUUCAUGUUUGACAGAACAGAGGUUCAGUUACAUAUGAAAAGAACAUACAGACUCAUCUAGACAGAUUAACAGUUCAAAAUAAGUGGAGAAAAUCAACCUAGACAGAUUGAUAAUCCACUGGAUGUGGCAGAAGGUGUGACAUGGGUCCAUGAUGCACCAGUCUCAUGUUCCGAAAAAUGAUACCAAGUGCUGUCAUCCCAAUGUACACUCCCAAUGGCCCAUUCAUUAGAAGCCUCAGUUUUGGAGAUAUACCAUUAUCCUACCAAAGGCUGCGUGUGCUCUGUGUCGCGCUACCACCCAGCCCAAUUCUAGCCAUACUACAAAUGCUCAAUUAAUGUCUUGGAAUAUGGCUGUGUGUAGAAGAUAUAGACAUCAAGAUGCCACUCACUGCACCUGGAAAUCCUAUUUCAGAGGACAGGGAAGUUGGUUGCCCAUCUGUUUUUAAACACAAGGGUAUUUCAGAGUAAGAAAAAUACAUUUUCUCUCUCUUUUUUUUUUUUUUUUCAUUUGGAUGCCUCCAGUAGUGACAUUUCUGGCACCGGCUGGAGGCAGAAUACUUGAUAAACACAAAGCCAUUAAAUCCCAAGCAGCAGCAACCUGAUCAGGGCUGCCUUUUAAUUUCCUGACAUGAGCUGGCCACUAACCCAAUUACCCAGAAUCCCCGGAGGAGCCCUCAUCCUUCCCAGGAAGCACAAAGCAAAAGCCCAAGCAUAUUGCAGGGAUGUCAGCUGAGCUUUCACUGGAAUCAAAUAUCUUUUCGAGAACACAUGGUUUGGAAGCAGGGAUGGGGGCAGGAGGGAGCGGUUGCUGGAAACACUUUGCUCCAUUGAGAGAUUCUGACACUUAAAAGGAGAAAUGAAACACCCUCCACUUGGUUAUGUUGCAGAAAGGAGGUCCACUGUUGAUUCAGUUGUCUGAAUUUUAGUGAACAGUGAAGGCAAAGUUACGAAGUACAAGUAGUUUCAGAUUGCCAGUGCCAGGAAUUCCUUGUUUAGGUAGUAGACAAUGGCACCCAAUUUGUAAAAUCAGAGCCAGGCCUCCCCAGGGGUGACAGGUUUGUUUCCUUAGAAAGCAUUUGCAAUAGCCACUGGCUGCAGCUGGUGAAGGAAAGAGCAGAGUUAGGAAAGUUCUACUGGCUGCAGUAAGCAGGUAUUGCCAAAGGCUCUGCAGACAGGUAAGAAAGAGAAACAGCUUACAGGAAGAUGAGCAGGGUGAAUUCUGUGGCUCUUCUCAUUCAUAUUUCAGUGCUUGGCCCUACAGUGUCAGUAUCCACACAUUCUAGUGAUGAGUACAUCACAAAUCAGAUUAGACAGAUAACAAUUUGGGAGCUUGGGGGAUUUGUAACAAGGAACUGGGAUGUCCUGUUGAAUUUUAACAUGCUCUCUAGUCUAACCUAUUGAAGUGCAUCAGUAUGACAAGGAGCAAAGCUUAAGAAAAGAAUGGUUGUACAAGGGAUAACCACACUACAGCAGAUCUGGGAAGAAACAGAGUCAUGUAGCCAAAGUAAAUCAUUCACCUUUCUUCACUCAUUGCCUAAACUCUCCCUUGCUGUUAAAGAGCCUCUCUUUUCUGCAUCCACAUCCCGACUUCCUACCCCUGCCAUCCUUAUGCUUGUGGAUUUCACCCUCACCACAUAAGUAAGAGCUGCUGGAUAACUCCUCAGUGCAAGGAGGCCAGGCCAGAGGAGAAUUUGCCUUCAAAGACAUUCCAAGGAGGGCACAGUAUCCUACCUUGGGAUUUCCCAUAAGAAAUGCAGCUGGGAAACUCUGGAUGUAAAUAUUUUCUGAAAUAAGGCGCACCUCAUCUGCCACAGGUACAUCCCCAGGGCCUUUUCAGUCUUUGCCCUCUUUCUUAGAAGCCACACAAGCCAUCCUCUAUGGCUGGGAGUCCUUAGAGGUAACAUCUCUGUUUGCAGACAGAUUUUGCAGAAGUGUAUCUACUUCAGGUGGACAAAGCUGUGGAGAAGCCCAAUUCAUCUCUGCCUGCAGAUACCUCAGCCAGGCCAGAAUCAGCAGAGUACAGGUUUUCUAGGGACGUAACCUCCCCACAGGGACACUUGGAUUGGGGUACGCUGGAAUCACAGACUCCAAAUCCAACAGCCUCCUAUCCAGGCCUGUAAAUGAGGGGGCAAUUAGAGCUCUCUGAGGGCACACUCCUGAUGGAAGGGAAAGCAAGAGACAGACAGCUAGACAGGCCAACACAUCUGAGUCUAUUGGGCUCCGCAGGCAGAGCUUUCUGCCAGUCACUCUCCCCAGUGAGUCUCGCCUGCCCUGCAGCGUCACGCCUGGAGAACCUGAGACAGCAAAGCUCUGGUAUCUGUACAGUUCCCUCGCUGCAAUGCAUUGAUCAGAGAUCUCUUAAAGAAAGUGGCCUGGAUAUCUGAGACACCUAUUGAUCGCCCCAUCGGCUCUCUUCCUGCCCUGAUCCUCAUUCACUUGGCAUUGCCCGAACAACCUGCACCUCUGUGUUAGGGGCAGCCUUCCAGAUCCUAAAGGGCCACAGUUGGCUGUUCAGCUCCCUGCAGUUCAUAGGGAAGGAAAGAACAUGUCUGGUGACCCUUGUGCAUUUCCAAGGGGAUUUGGCUCCUGCAGAAUCAAGUUGCGCAUUAAAGAAUAAGGUUAGAGGCUUGAAAUCAUUGCUACCUGUUUUUUGACAUCUUUGAAUACUGGUUCCCCCUGCUUGAAAAAUAGGCUUGCACCACAUGCUGAGUGAGCAGACAGAGGUGUGUACAUCACAUGUAAGGACAAUAACCAGAAGAAUCUUUCCUGUCUUGCCAAGAAGAAAUCACAAAGCACUGAACUGGACACUAAUGGAAUCUCACAUUUUUCUUCUUCAGAGGAAGGACAGUUUCAUUUCCCAGAAAUGUCUCCCAGCAAGUUACCAGAUCAGUACCAAAGACCUCAAAGAGAAACACAGCAAGAGACAAACUGGCUUCAAGAUCUCUCAUUCAACCAUAAGAUCAUCUUCCUCCUAACUCUGGGCAAUCAAAAAGGAGAAAGAACCUGGCUUAACAGCCAUGGAUGGACCCAAGAAAGAAGAGAGAUGUAAACCAAGGCAAGGAGAAAUGGGAAAGACGACCAGGGAUUUCAAAAACUAGUCGAACUACUAGAAAUGUGUACCAGGGAACACUGUUGCUCUUGUGGAUAAAGGGAUGGAUGAGCUAACUGAAUGACAGAUCAGAGAUGUAAAAAACCAACGAACCUUUUCUAAUCCAAAAUCUCUUGUCAAUUCUGCAUUUCUGAGCAAGUCAAACAAUUAUGGAUUUGUUCUUUCCUGAAAGUCCUGGCUCUGUGGAGACCAAAGACUGUCAAGCCAUUUUUUCUCCCUUUUCGGAUUUUGCUUUUAAAGAUGUGUAUUGAUUAAAUUCUGUAUACUAAUAACUUUGUGCUUCAACCAAGCUUCACAUAAAGUUAACUAAUCAGUGCUUAUAACCCUUC